AACUAGAAAGUGAAAUAUUACACUUAGUUUCGACCUAAGACUUGACAUAAAUGUCUCUAGUUU
rnacentral:tRNA from 1 species